rnacentral:rRNA from 1 species
AUGAACGCUGGCGGCGUGCCUCAUACAUGCCAGUCGAGCGAACAGACGAGGAGCUUGCUCCUCUGAUGUUAGCGGCGGACGGGUGAGUAACACGUGGAUAACCUACCUAUAAGACUGGGAUAACUUCGGGAAACCGGAGCUAAUACCGGAUAACAUGUUGAACCGCAUGGUUCAACAGUGAAAGACGGUCUUGCUGUCACUUAUAGAUGGAUCCGCGCCGCAUUAGCUAGUUGGUAAGGUAACGGCUUACCAAGGCAACGAUGCGUAGCCGACCUGAGAGGGUGAUCGGCCACACUGGAACUGAGACACGGUCCAGACUCCUACGGGAGGCAGCAGUAGGGAAUCUUCCGCAAUGGGCGAAAGCCUGACGGAGCAACGCCGCGUGAGUGAAGAAGGUCUUCGGAUCGUAAAACUCUGUUAUUAGGGAAGAACAAAUGUGUAAGUAACUAUGCACGUCUUGACGGUACCUAAUCAGAAAGCCACGGCUAACUACGUG